rnacentral:rRNA from 1 species
AUUGAACGCUGGCGGCAGGCCUAACACAUGCAAGUCGAGCGGAUGAAGGGAGCUUGCUCCUGGAUUCAGCGGCGGACGGGUGAGUAAUGCCUAGGAAUCUGCCUGGUAGUGGGGGAUAACGUCCGGAAACGGGCGCUAAUACCGCAUACGUCCUGAGGGAGAAAGUGGGGGAUCUUCGGACCUCACGCUAUCAGAUGAGCCUAGGUCGGAUUAGCUAGUUGGUGGGGUAAAGGCCUACCAAGGCGACGAUCCGUAACUGGUCUGAGAGGAUGAUCAGUCACACUGGAACUGAGACACGGUCCAGACUCCUACGGGGGGCAGCAGUGGGGAAUAUUGGACGAUGGGCGAAAGCCUGAUUCAGCCAUGCCGCGUGUGUGAAGAAGGUCUUCGGAUUGUAAAGCACUUUAAGUUGGGAGGAAGGGCAGUAAGUUAAUACCUUGCUGUUUUGACGUUACCAACAGAAUAAGCACCGGCUAACUUCGUG